rnacentral:snRNA from 1 species
UUCCUUUCUUGGCCUUUUAGCCGAAAUCACGCGUAGUAUCCGUUCUUGUCAAUGUUAUGCCAGACGUAUCUUUAGUUUGAGGACUUGAUGUUAAAUGGGUGUGGGGAAUGGGAGGUCUCCUUGGAGCUUGCUCUGUGCCCUGACCUAGCAGUGCAGUGCCCCUGUGAACAGGACUGGGUGA